rnacentral:rRNA from 1 species
UCCAGACUCCUACGGGAGGCAGCAGUGAGGAAUAUUGGUCAAUGGGCGAGAGCCUGAACCAGCCAAGUCGCGUGAGGGAAGACGGUCCUAUGGAUUGUAAACCUCUUUUGCCGGGGAGCAAAAAGCGGUACGUGUACCGCAUCGAGAGUACCCGGAGAAAAAGCAUCGGCUAACUCCGUGCCAGCAGCCGCGGUAAUACGGAGGAUUCAAGCGUUAUCCGGAUUUAUUGGGUUUAAAGGGUGCGUAGGCGGUCGGAUAAGUUAGAGGUGAAAUCCCGAGGCUCAACUUCGGAAUUGCCUCUGAUACUGUUCGGCUAGAGAGUAGGUGCGGUAGGCGGAAUGUAUGGUGUAGCGGUGAAAUGCUUAGAGAUCAUACAGAACACCGAUUGCGAAGGCAGCUUACCAAGCUACUUCUGACGUUGAGGCACGAAAGCGUGGGGAGCAAACAGGAUUAGAUACCCCAGUA